rnacentral:lncRNA from 1 species
AUAUAGGGCAAACCUGAUUGGAGAGCUUGAUUGAAAUUGAGUUGCACCCGUGAGGUUUACAAAACAAUCUUUAGGGUUUAUGUGAGGCAGAGGUGAUUCUGUGCAGUUGAGUUCCCUUCAGGGUUUGGAGGUUGCUCUGAACUCUGUUAGUUCUUCUCUCACUAUCUUUUUCCUCAGGGUUUUGUUCCAAGGAAACCUCGGAGUAUUUUGCCUCUCUUCCUUUUUCUCUCCAGUGAAUCUCCCAGUGUAACUCCAAGUGUGUCUUUUCCUCUACUGAAACUUCAAUAUUUAUAGACUGAUUUUCGUGGGUAGUGGGCUCAAAUGAGGGAGACCCAAG